CGUAGGUGGCGAGCGUUGUCCGGAUUUACUGGGCGUAAAGGGAGCGUAGGCGGACUUUUAAGUGAGAUGUGAAAUACCCGGGCUCAACUUGGGUGCUGCAUUUAAAACUGGAAGUCUAGAGUGCAGGAGAGGAGAAUGGAAUUCCUAGUGUAGCGGUGAAAUGCGUAGAGAUUAGGAAGAACACCAGUGGCGAAGGCGAUUCUCUGGACUGUAACUGACGCUGAGGCACGAAAGCGUGGGGAGCAAACAGGAUUAGAUACCCU
rnacentral:rRNA from 1 species